GCGCCGGUGGUGUAAGGCGAACAUCGCUGCCCGGAAAGCAGAGGAUGCGGGUUCGAGUCCCUCCUGGCGCA
rnacentral:tRNA from 1 species